UACGAAGGGGGCUAGCGUUGUUCGGAAUUACUGGGCGGUAAAGUGUGCGCAGGCGGCCGCGCAAGUCGAGUGUGAAAGCCCCGAGCUUAACUUGGGAAUUGCGCUCGAAACUACGUGGCUGGAGUGUGGCAGGAGGGAAGGUGGAAUUCCACGUGUAGCGGUGAAAUGCGCAGAUAUCAGGAGGAACACCGGUGGCGAAGGCGGGCUCUGGGCCGAUAUUGACGCUGAGGAGCGAAAGCGUGGGGAGCGAACAGG
rnacentral:rRNA from 1 species